rnacentral:misc_RNA from 1 species
GAACGCACAUUGCGCCCCUUGGUAUUCCGAGGGGCAUGCCUGUUCGAGCGUCAUUAUAACCACUCAAGCCUCGGCUUGGUCUUGGGGUUCGCGGUCUCGCGGCCCUUAAAAUCAGUGGCGGUGCCGUCUGGCUCUAAGCGUAGUAAUUUUCUCGCUAUAGGGUCCAGGUGACCACCUGCCAUAACCCCCCAUUCUUUACGGUUGACCUCGGAUCAGGUAGGGAUACCCGCUGAACUUA